AGUGAACGCUGGCGGUAGGCCUAACACAUGCAAGUCGAACGGCAGCACAGUAAGAGCUUGCUCUUACGGGUGGCGAGUGGCGGACGGGUGAGGAAUACAUCGGAAUCUACUUUUUCGUGGGGGAUAACGUAGGGAAACUUACGCUAAUACCGCAUACGACCUACGGGUGAAAGCAGGGGAUCUUCGGACCUUGCGCGAUUGAAUGAGCCGAUGUCGGAUUAGCUAGUUGGCGGGGUAAAGGCCCACCAAGGCGACGAUCCGUAGCUGGUCUGAGAGGGUGAUCAGCCACACUGGAACUGAGACACGGUCCAGACUCCUACGGGAGGCAGCAGUGGGGAAUAUUGGACAAUGGGCGCAAGCCUGAUCCAGCCAUACCGCGUGGGUGAAGAAGGCCUUCGGGUUGUAAAGCCCUUUUGUUGGGAAGGAAAAGCAGCAGGUUAAUACCCCGCUGUUCUGACGGUACCCAAAGAAUAAGCACCGGCUAACUUCGUG
rnacentral:rRNA from 1 species